rnacentral:rRNA from 1 species
CACGCUGUAAACGAUGUCGACUUGGAGGUUGUGCCCUUGAGGCGUGGCUUCCGGAGCUAACGCGUUAAGUCGACCGCCUGGGGAGUACGGCCGCAAGGUUAAAACUCAAAUGAAUUGACGGGGGCCCGCACAAGCGGUGGAGCAUGUGGUUUAAUUCGAUGCAACGCGAAGAACCUUACCUACUCUUGACAUCCACGGAAUUUAGCAGAGAUGCUUUAGUGCCUUCGGGAACCGUGAGACAGGUGC